GAUUUCUGGUACGGCGCACUUGGCCCGCCUCGGUUACGGGGUUGUGUGCCGGUGUGCGCCUGCCAUCCUUCUGGACAACGUUUCGGCCCUUCACUGGGUCAGGAACGCUUUCCAGAUCAUUUACUUUGAAAAAAUUAGAGUGUUUAAAGCAGGCUUAUGCUAUGAAUACAUUAGCAUGGAAUAAUAAUUUAGGACUUUGGUCUUAUUUUGUUGGUUUCUAGGACUGGAGUAAUGAUUGAUAGGGAUAGUUGGGGGUGCUAGUAUUCAGCGGCCAGAGGUGAAAUUCUUGGAUUCGCUGAAGACUAACUUAUGCGAAAGCAUU
rnacentral:rRNA from 1 species